ensembl:ncRNA F46C8.9 ncRNA
GUUAAUUUUUUUAAAAUAACUAUUUCUGGUAUUUAAGGUGGAGAAAAUGGAAGUAGGAAUUCACUAGUUUUGUUUUUCCACGUGAAAAUGCAAUGUAGACUGAACCGUUUUGUUGAUUCACAUGACUUCUAUCAUUUGUGAGAA